rnacentral:rRNA from 1 species
CCUACGGGUGGCAGCAAUGGGGAAUAUUGCACAAUGGGGGAAACCCUGAUGCAGCGACGCCGCGUGAGUGAAGAAGUAUUUCGGUAUGUAAAGCCCUAUUAGCAGGGAAGAAGAAAUGACGGUACCUGAGUAAGAAGCACCGGCUAAAUACGUGCCAGCAGCUGCGGUAAUACGGAUGGUGCAAGCGUUAUGCGGAUUUACUGGGUGUAAAGGGAGCGCAGGGGGCACGGCAAGCCUGAUGUGAAAGCCCGGGGCCCAACCGCGGGACUGCAUUGGGAACUACCGGGCUGGAGUGCCGGAGAGGUAGGCGGAAUUCGUGGUGUAGCGGUGAAAUGCGUAGAUAUUAGGAGGAACACCAGUGGCGAAGGCGGCCUACUGGAC